rnacentral:rRNA from 1 species
UACGUAGGGCGCGAGCGUUGUCCGGAUUUAUUGGGCGUAAAGAGCUCGUAGGUGGCUUGUCGCGUCUGCCGUGAAAGCCCGCGGCUUAACUGCGGGUUUGCGGUGGAUACGGGCUGGCUUGAGGCAGGUAGGGGCAAGCGGAAUUCCUGGUGUAGCGGUGAAAUGCGCAGAUAUCAGGAGGAACACCGGUGGCGAAGGCGGCUUGCUGGGCCUUGCCUGACGCUGAGGAGCGAAAGCGUGGGGAGCGAACAGG